rnacentral:rRNA from 1 species
UACGUAGGAGACGAGCGUUGUCCGGAAUCACUGGGCGUAAAGGGCGCGUAGGUGGUGGCUUAAGCGUGCGGUGAAAGCUCGGGGCUCAACCCCGAGUCGGCCGUGCGAACUGGGCUCACUGGAGCAUAGUAGAGGCAGGUGGAAUUCCGGGUGUAGCGGUGGAAUGCGUAGAGAUCCGGAAGAACACCGGUGGCGAAGGCGGCCUGCUGGGCUAUGGCUGACACUGAGGCGCGACAGCGUGGGGAGCAAACAGGG